AUGCCGGGCAGCCGUGCCGCGACCGUGUUGGACGACCUGCCGGAGUGGCUCGUCGUCGACGAGAUCCUCGCCCGGCUGCCUGUCAAGGACGUGUUCCGCUGCCGCGCCGUCCGGAGGUCGUGGCGCAGCGGCACAUCCACCUACGCCUUCAUCCUCGGCCACCACCGCCGCCAGCCCUCGCUGCCCAUCAUCUUGCACGACCAUGGCAUCAGCCGCGUCGCCGGAGCCUCCGCCUCCGCCUCCAGUGGUCAGAAGAUACGGCCCCUGCUCCGGUACGCAAGCCUCGGUAUAUGCAUGCGCCUCAUAACCUGUGAUGGGCUCCUCAUCCUGUGGCGGGGUUCAGAUUUCUACAUCUGCAACCCUGCCACCCGCAAGUGCGCCCCGCUGUCGCAUCCUCCGCGACAACAGUUCAUCAGCCCCAUCACCGGAGUCGACGUGCUCGGCUUGUACCGGCACCAGCCAUCUGGAGAAUACAGGGUGCUCUGGGUGUCGUACGCCGCGCCCAUGGGGACAUUCGCCGCUGUUAAGGUUGAGCAGCCUCAUUACCUUGUCUUCACCGUGGGUUCGGACCAGCCAAGACGCAUCCAAUGGCCGACAGUUUCAGAAGAUGGGUGUCCUGCUGCCCAUCCACCGAUCCACCAUCGUGGUAGCCUCCACUGGGCAAUGGGUUGCAGCAUAACGGUAUUUGAAACCAUAGCCGAGACAUUCCGGCAGAUGAGCCGUCCGGCACAAUUGGGCAGCUACGUGCUAUUAUUGGAUACGGGCGACAACCUUGCUUUGUAUGUCAGCACCGACCAUGACCGCGUCACUUUGGAUGUUUGGGUCUUGCAGGACUAUGAUGCAGAGACCUGGGGGUUUCGAUACCGGAUUAACUUGUUAGCGAUGGAUGCAUCUCCACCGCUUAAGUUGUGGAAAUCUAUCCCUAGGCUGGCUGUGAUCAACGAGCGUAGUACUCUAGUAUUAUCGUUUCAUGUGUGUCAUGUUAUCUUGAACAUCGUGUUAAUGUAUGUUUUGAACAAUGGUGUGUCUACUGCUAUAAAGAACUGUUGUAUUGUUCUCCUGAGUUCACUUUCAAUUUGCAUUGUUAAACGAAUGGCAAUGUUGCAGCUUGAAAUGCUAAUUCCUUAG
rnacentral:rRNA from 1 species